GACGAACGCUGGCGGCAUGCCUAAUACAUGCAAGUCGAACGAUGACGUCACUGCUUGCAGUGACUGAUUAGUGGCGAACGGGUGAGUAACACGUGAGGAACUUGCCCAUGAGCGGGGGACAACAUUCGGAAACGGAUGCUAAUACCCCAUAGGUGGAUUGGUCGCAUGACGAAUUCAUUAAAGGUGGCUUUGCUACCACUCAUGGAUAGCCUCGCGGCGUAUUAGCUAGUUGGUAAGGUAAUGGCUUACCAAGGCAGUGAUACGUAGCCGACUUGAGAGGGUGAUCGGCCACACUGGGACUGAGACACGGCCCAGACUCCUACGGGAGGCAGCAGUAGGGAAUCUUCCACAAUGGGUGCAAACCUGAUGGAGCAAUGCCGCGUGAGUGAAGAAGGUCUUCGGAUCGUAAAGCUCUGUUGUUAGAGAAGAACACGUGCUAGGUAACUACUAGCGCCUUGACGGUAUCUAACCAGAAAGUCACGGCUAACUACGUGCCAGCAGCCGCGGUAAUACGUAGGUGACAAGCGUUGUCCGGAUUUAUUGGGCGUAAAGGGAGCGCAGGCGGUCUGUUUAGUCUAAUGUGAAAGCCCACGGCUUAACCGUGGAACGGCAUUGGAAACUGACAGACUUGAAUGUAGAAGAGGAAAAUGGAAUUCCAAGUGUAGCGGUGGAAUGCGUAGAUAUUUGGAGGAACACCAGUGGCGAAGGCGAUUUUCUGGUCUAACAUUGACGCUGAGGCUCGAAAGCGUGGGGAGCGAACAGG
rnacentral:rRNA from 1 species